rnacentral:rRNA from 1 species
GUGGGGAAUAUUGGGCAAUGGGCGAAAGCCUGACCCAGUAACGCCGCGUGAAGGAAGAAGGUCUUCGGAUCGUAAACUUCUAUCCUUGGUGAAGAUAAUGACGGUAGCCGAGAAGGAAGCCCCGGCUAACUACGUGCCAGCAGCCGCGGUAAUACGUAGGGGGCAAGCGUUGUCCGGAAUGAUUGGGCGUAAAGGGCGCGUAGGCGGCCUGGUAAGUCUGGAGUGAAAGUCCUGCUUUUAAGGUGGGAAUUGCUUUGGAUACUGUCGGGCUUGAGUGCAGGAGAGGUAAGUGGAAUUCCCGGUGUAGCGGUGAAAUGCGUAGAGAUCGGGAGGAACACCAGUGGCGAAGGCGACUUACUGGACUGUAACUGACGCUGAGGCGCGAAAGUGUGGGGAGCAAACAGGAUUAGAUACCCUGGUAGUCC